rnacentral:lncRNA from 1 species
GCAAAGUGAUGGAUCAAGAGGGUUUCAUACUUGGGAAUUGUCAACCCUGAAUUUUGAUUCUUUGUUUGUAUGCAGUUGCCAAGGUAGGCUUUGAAGCUUCUGCAUGACUUUUUCCUUCUAUCAUUGAGAGAUAUGGAUCCACAAUUGUUGGGUUCAGAUGUCCUUAAAUAUUUAGAACACAUGAUUUUCCCAAGAGAGAAUGAUGGGGUUCAUGAGCGACAAUACAUUCUUUAGAGAAUGAUCACUU